AUUGAACGCUGGCGGCAGGCUUAACACAUGCAAGUCGAGCGGAGAUGAGGUGCUUGCACCUUAUCUUAGUGGCGGACGGGUGAGUAAUGCUUAGGAAUCUGCCUAUUAGUGGGGGGACAACAUUCCGAAAGGAAUGCUAAUACCGCAUUCGUCCUACGGGAGAAAGCAGGGGAUCUUCGGACCUUGCGCUAAUAGAUGAGCCUAAGUCGGAUUAGCUAGUUGGUGGGGUAAAGGCCUACCAAGGCGACGAUCUGUAGCGGGUCUGAGAGGAUGAUCCGCCACACUGGGACUGAGACACGGCCCAGACUCCUACGGGAGGCAGCAGUGGGGAAUAUUGGACAAUGGGGGGAACCCUGAUCCAGCCAUGCCGCGUGUGUGAAGAAGGCCUUAUGGUUGUAAAGCACUUUAAGCGAGGAGGAGGCUACUGAGACUAAUACUCUUGGAUAGUGGACGUUACUCGCAGAAUAAGCACCGGCUAACUCUGUGCCAGCCGCCGCCGUAAGAC
rnacentral:rRNA from 1 species